ACUGAGGAAUAGGAAAAUGCAACUGAGAAACAUGAUAAAGAACCCACUUUCAGUAUGGAAUACUGGAAAUCUCAAAACCUUACUUUUAUUUUUCAGCUUAAAGAGCUGAGGAUAGACCUUUUAGAUGGUAAUAAUGAAAUGCAGUUCGCAAGGUACAUUCUGGAGAAUGCUCCGAGAUUGGAGAAAAUGGUCAUAUUUCAAUCAGAACAGCACUCGGAUGUUGUGGAGAUGGUAACCAAAAGCAAGAUAUCCAAUGCAACUAUUGUUGCACAAGAAAGACAGAGGUGUAAAGGGAAAGAAAGUUUCAAAUAAUAUUUUAGGUAGAUGUGUUUAUAAUGUAAUAUAAUCCCAACUUCAUGUCGCAGAGGCUUGUCUAUUGCGUCUGCCACAAAAUUGUUUAUUCACGUCUGAUAUGAGUGAAUGAUCGAUUCCAAAGUCGUGAUGUAAA